AGUGAACGCUGGCGGUAGGCCUAACACAUGCAAGUCGAACGGCAGCACAGUAAGAGCUUGCUCUUACGGGUGGCGAGUGGCGGACGAGUGAGGAAUACAUCGGAAUCUACUUUUUCGUGGGGGAUAACGUAGGUAAACUUACGCUAAUACCGCAUACGACCUACGGGUGAAAGCAGGGGAUCUUCGGACCUUGCGCGAUUGAAUGAGCCGAUGUCGGAUUAGCUAGUUGGCGGGGUAAAGGCCCACCAAGGCGACGAUCCGUAGCUGGUCUGAGAGGAUGAUCAGCCACACUGGAACUGAGACACGGUCCAGACUCCUACGGGAGGCAGCAGUGGGGAAUAUUGGACAAUGGGCGCAAGCCUGAUCCAGCCAUACCGCGUGGGUGAAGAAGGCCUUCGGGUUGUAAAGCCCUUUUGUUGGGAAAGAAAAGCAGCAGGUUAAUACCCCGCUGUUCUGACGGUACCCAAAGAAUAAGCACCGGCUAACUUCGUG
rnacentral:rRNA from 1 species